UGGGGAAUUUUGGACAAUGGGCGAAAGCCUGAUCCAGCAAUGCCGCGUGUGUGAAGAAGGCCUUCGGGUUGUAAAGCACUUUUGUCCGGAAAGAAAUCCUUGGCUCUAAUACAGUCGGGGGAUGACGGUACCGGAAGAAUAAGCACCGGCUAACUACGUGCCAGCAGCCGCGGUAAUACGUAGGGUGCAAGCGUUAAUCGGAAUUACUGGGCGUAAAGCGUGCGCAGGCGGUUUGCUAAGACCGAUGUGAAAUCCCCGGGCUCAACCUGGGAACUGCAUUGGUGACUGGCAGGCUAGAGUAUGGCAGAGGGGGGUAGAAUUCCACGUGUAGCAGUGAAAUGCGUAGAGAUGUGGAGGAAUACCGAUGGCGAAGGCAGCCCCCUGGGCCAAUACUGACGCUCAUGCACGAAAGCGUGGGGAGCAAACAGGAUUAGAUACCCUGGUAGUCCACGCCCUAAACGAUGUCAACUAGUUGUGGGGAUUCAUUUCCUUAGUAACGUAGCUAACGCGUGAAGUUGACCGCCUGGGGAGUACGGUCGCAAGAUUAAAACUCAAAUGAAUUGACGGGGUCNUA
rnacentral:rRNA from 1 species